CUGCUUGCUCUCCUAGCCAUGGGAACAGAUGGGCUGGAGGAAAGGCAGGUGAACCUGGGCUGGAGUGGAGCCUGCUGCAGGGCCCCAGGCACUUCGCUCUGGUCCAACACGUUCUCUGAGCCACCGGUUCAGUGUAACGCUGCAGCAAGCAGCAGGAAGCGUGAUUAACUUGCUCUCCUUUGAUGUGAGGUGUGUUUUCAGGUAGGGAUCGCUGGAAAAGGCCAAGCAAGACUUGGAGCCCCAUCCUUAUUUGCAUACAUAGUCACAGGGAGCUGCUUUGCUCAGUGGUUUUAAUUCCAUAGCCUUCUGAGCUGCAUGCUCGUUUCAGCGUCCUCAAAAAAGUCCACUCCAAGCUUGUAUGCUCUUCUUUGAACUUAAUUUCUAAGUGGUUUGGCUUCUAAGUGGUUUAUCUACUUCUGUGUCAGAAAUGAAAAUGAGCAGGAAGACAGGGAAGGAAGAGCCUGAUAGGUUUAAGGAAAGGCUGCACUGAGAUGGUGAUAGGAUUUUCCAUGGUUAAGAAGCACUCUGCAUUUUAUUUUUGCUGAAGCUGAUACAAGAAGCAUUUUAUCAAACUCGUGUGAGAUAAAUUGCACACAAUGAGUAUGCCUCAAUUAACAAUUACGGCUGGCAUUUUGUUUCUGAAGUGCUUGUUUUUAGGAAAGUUAGGGUCAUCGGGUAGGUAGAAGUUUUUGAGGUGUAAAACUUGUAAGCUGGGCAGCCAUGGUUAAGUGCUGAACUCUGCUACCUGGCACUCCUGCAGGUAUUGAAGGAACUCCCCUGAGCAGAGUCCGUGAAGUCCUGCUGUGGUGGUGUGUGGCAAAGGAAUGAAGGCCCUUUAUUGACUUAGCAGAUGUAUGUGUGGAUAGUUAAGCACUGAGAUGGAUUGGAUGUGACAGCAACCUUCAGGAGGAUUCAUCUAAAGUAUCUAACUUACUGGCAAAAUGGUGGGGCAGUUUAUUUCAUGGUCCACAGCCAUUCUUCCAAAUGGCUCCUUGCACUGGUGGCUUUCAAGUGGUGCUGUGUGUGUGGCCUGGCAGGAAAGGCAGGGACAACUGAGGAAUAAAUGUCCUAGGUGAGGUGAGCCUUUGUGCCAUGUGUGGCUGUAGGCAUCUAGUUAGCAUGCUCUGAGACCUGCAGAGAGAGAAAGAAAGCAAGUGAUCAUGCAGCUGUCAUCAGGCAGCAGAAAGAAUACUUCACUUUAUUUUGACAGAGUGACAUUUGUAGAUACCCAUAGCUGGCAAGGCAGUUUUGGCAUCUGGAAGCUUCCCUGAUGUUUUCAUCUUAUUCACACUAAGUGAAGGCUUUCCCAGUCUGGGUGGUCUGGGAUUAAAUAUUAAUCAGAGUGUCUUCAGGAUGAAAUGAUGCAGCUUAGUAGAACGUGCACAGCUGAAAUCACAUUUUUGAGGAAUGUGAACAUGAGGAUGGCCAGAUUAAUGGAGCAGAGGAUCUAACUUCAAAGUGGUUCCCAGCAGCUCCUGGAGAGGACAUGUGUUUUGAGAGUUGUCAGUGAAAGGGAGUUUUCCUUGUCUGAAAGCAACCUGAUGUUUAUUUUGGUUUUUAAAAGCUUAAAAAAAAAAAGGGGGGGAAAAAAAAGGAAAAAAGUUUGUGUUUCUACCAUGUGAUUUUUGUUUGGGGUUUAAAAUUUUUUUAGUUCAUUCUGUCUUGAGAUGUGCAUAGCUUGUGUGGCUUUCAGCACUUGGAUUGUGGUCUUCUGACCACUGGCAGUCUGGAAGGCAUAUAAAAUGUAAACCAGAAAGAAAUCAAAGUUUCUGGUUUUGCUGUAAAUGGAAACUGUUGUGGCAACACUGCAUAAGGUGGUGUUCCCUCUCAACCAUUCAGUACAUUAUCUCCAUGAACUUAAGACAGUUUGUCUUAGGCUAUUUUUUGCCCUUCUCAUGCUUAAUACAUUAAGACUUCUCUAAUCUCUGAAGCAAAGUACUCCUAGAUUUGACUACUAAUGAGACUGCUAAAAAUCAGGAGUACAGUAGCAACAAGUCAAAGGAGUUAUAACUGGGGACCUGGCGGAUGCUAAAUCACAAAACCCCUGUGAGUGGAAAGACAUUGUUUGGCUCAGUUGUUGCUGAGCUGAUGGAAUAAAACGUUGUCGUCAGA